rnacentral:tRNA from 1 species
GAGGGUAUAGCUCAGGGGUAGAGUGUGUGCCUAGCAUGCACAGGGUCCUGGAUUCAAUCCCCAGUUCCUCCA